GACAGAGGUGCCGAGCGUUAGGCGGAAUCACUGGGCUUAAAGCGUGUGUAGGCGGACUUGUAAGUACCUUGUGAAAUCCCACAGCUCAACUGUGGAACUGCUUGGUAUACUGCUUGUCUUGAGCCACUUAGGGGCAGUCGGAACAGACGGUGGAGCGGUGAAAUGCGCAGAUAUCGGGAGGAGCACCUAUGGCGAAGGCAGCUCGCUGGGACGUUACUGACGCUGAGACGCGAAAGCGUGGGGAGCAAACAGG
rnacentral:rRNA from 1 species